ensembl:lncRNA
GUGGAUAAGAUCAGCUCAAUCUUCUGGUGGACAGGCAGCAGUUCAUCACCUGCGAAUCAGACGGAGCCAUCAGAGAGUUCAGACAAAAGUAUGGGGAACAUCCAGCUUCAGCUCAUUAUGUUUAGUGGAUGUUUUGUACAUCGUCACUCAGUGGAGACACUUGACUGAAUUUGUUCUCAUUAUCUGAAACCAUAUUACUUUACGAUUUUAAUGAAACCAUUAUCAAACCUGUUCUUUUGAUUUUGAAAGGUAGGGUAUGAAAUCCUUCUAUAAUUUAUUGCAGUCAUGACUGUGAUUUAGAUCCUGAAACUGCAACAUAAUAUUGAAGUUAGUCAACAUGGAAUUGUAACUGACUAUUUACUUAAUGGUCUUAUUGUUCACAAUUCAGUGUAUUUUAAUACACCCACAACAAGUUUGCCUUUUAACAAAGCAUUAAUUUGCUCUUUUCAGAUGAUGUCCCAAUCACAAAACCUCACAUAUUGGUGUCUGGGGUCCAGGAGGGGAGCAGUCCUGAACAAACCCAUUCAGGUCAUUCUGAUCAUCCUCGCAUCCCACCACCGUACUGCUCAAACUCAUUCACUGACCCUAAUGAAAUUGCAAAAGUGGACAAGAUCAACCUCAGGGUAAAAUGUGCUGGAAAGACCAUGGAAGUAGACAUGUUCCCACUGGAAAGAAUCUCCGUUUUACUAGAGGAGGCCUGUGAAUGGUAUGGGAAGAAACCAGAGAAAAUGUCGCUGGUUUAUGCAGGAAAUUAUAUGGAUGUGAACAUGACAGUGAGCCACUAUGGACUACGAGGAGGAACCACCGUACAUUUGAUUCAAGCCUAAUCAUCUCUCAAAUAAGUUCUGUUAACACAAGUACACUAAAUCAAAUAUUAUAAAUGUUCAGUGUUAUUUCCUUUAAAACUGUAUUUUCGUUUGUUAAAAGCAUUGCCACUUAGUCUUAUGUUUGUGUAUGUAUAUAGUUAGUUUACACUUACCUCUAUAAUAUUAUUUCAAGGACCUUUUUAAACAUUUUUAAAAACACUAAAAUAAAACUGACUUCACUCAAGAGCA